GAUGAACGCUAGCUACAGGCUUAACACAUGCAAGUCGAGGGGAAACGAUAGAGAAAGCUUGCUUUUUCUAGGCGUCGACCGGCGCACGGGUGAGUAACACGUAUCCAACCUGCCCAUCACUUGGGGAUGACCUUGCGAAAGUAAGACUAAUACCCAAUGACGUCUCUAGAAGACAUCUGAAGGAGAUUAAAGAUUUAUCGGUGAUGGAUGGGGAUGCGUCUGAUUAGCUUGUUGGCGGGGUAACGGCCCACCAAGGCGACGAUCAGUAGGGGUUCUGAGAGGAAGGCCCCCCACAUUGGAACUGAGACACGGUCCAAACUCCUACGGGAGGCAGCAGUGAGGAAUAUUGGUCAAUGGACGAGAGUCUGAACCAGCCAAGUAGCGUGCAGGAUGACGGCCCUAUGGGUUGUAAACUGCUUUUAUAAGGGAAUAAAGUGAGUCUCGUGAGACUUUUUGCAUGUACCUUAUGAAUAAGGACCGGCUAAUUCCGUGCCAGCAGCCG
rnacentral:rRNA from 1 species